CGGUAUUAACAGGAAAAUGGUUUUUAGUCCAAAUCUGUACGAAAUAAUGUAGUACGUAAAUUAUAGUCAAGUCCAAAUCUGCGAAGUUGAUUUUUUUUUUAAUUUACGUAGCUUUUGCGAAUUGCCAAUACAUGGGUCACAAGAAAAUCGACUUCAAAUGGAAAUCUAAAAGCAUGUAUUUUCUCACAAAUGAACUGCCUGAAAGGUUUACGAAAAAGGUAUUAACAAAAAAGUGGUAUAUUAGUCCAAAUCUGCGAAGUUGAUCUUAUGUUGUAAUUGACGUAGCUUUCGCUAAUUUGUUACAAGAAAAUCAAAUUUGAACGUACAUCUAAGAAUGUGCAAUUUUUCCCAAAUGAACUAGGUGUAAGUAAUAUAAUAUAUUUGUGAAAACAGUAUUAACAUAAAAAUAUGACACUAUAAAGGUUACAAUCGCAUUGUAUGUAUUUGUGAAAAGGUGGUUUAGGUCAAAUCUCCGAAGUUGAUGUUUGUUUACAAUUCAAGUAGAUUUUACUGUGAAUAUACUUAUACAUGUUACAAUAAAAUUGAUUUUUAACGUAAAUCGUAGAAUGUUCAAGUUUUUCCAAAUGGACUACAUGUACAUAUGUAUUUUUGAAAACCGUUUUAAAAGGAAAAUGGUAUUUUAGUCUAAAUCUGUGAAGAUGAUGGUUUUAUGUACUUGUGGUAUGUUAUGCUAAUUGUGAAUAUAAAAGUUACAAGAAAAUCGACCAGGAACGAAAAUCUAAGAAUGUGUAUUUAUAAGAAUAUUUAAGUUUCACCAAUGCACUACAUGUAUAUAUUUGCGAAACGGGUUCUAACAUGGUAUUUUAGUCCAAAUCUGCGAAGUAGAUUUUGUUUUGCAAUUUACGUAAUCUUUGCUUAUUGUCAGUAUAAAGAUUACAGGAAAAUCGACUUUGUACGUAAACCUAACCCUUAAACGCCUGGUGGUUCCUCCAGGAAGCAAUCGAUAUUUUUGUUAAUGUUCGUGUAUAAAUAUGCAUAUUAAAUAUUACAUCACGUGACAUGUUGCUUUAAUAUAUCCAUUAACUUAUAAUGUAGUUGCCCCUUGUGUGAGCUUUGUUAUUUCCGUUUUGACUUGAGUAAGAGUGCAUCGAAAAAAUUCGGUUAAGCAGAUCUCAAGGUUUUCCCCUAAAAGUGGCCAUGUCCACUGUCUAAUUUUGAAGUCGGUUCCUAUAAAGUGAUCUCAUACCAUCCCUGAAUUAAAAUUUAAUGACUCUGGCGUGUUUAGUGCCUGAUUUAUCGCGCUUUUACAAGUAAUAGUUCCUAACAGUACCAUUAUAUGGGAGUGGGCAGGGUUGUCAGCCCCCUAUUUUCACACUAUAUAUAGAAGCUAAAAACAUUUGUUCUCAGUGAAUUUUGUUAUUGUAGCUUUAGCGGUUUGAGGGUAUGCACAUUAAACCUAAACACAAUUUAAACUGCAGAUGCCCUUCCCUAAUUUGAUCCUGUAUACCAAAUAAGAGUCUUGUAUCUUGUUGUGGAGCUUAGUUAUGGCAAGUUAUUUGUUUUUGAUUAAUGGCGUUUUGUGGGCGUGGCAGUGGUCCGAUUACGCCCAUCUGCAAUACCAACCGUCUUACGGUACCAAAAAACAUAUGUACCAAGUUUCAUAAAGAUAUCUCAAUUUUUAUUCAAGUUACAGCUUGCAGAUACAGACGGACGGACGGACAAACAGUCACCCAGAUUUCAACUCGUCUCUUUAUCCUGAUCCUUUAUAUAUAUAUAAUUCGGUAUAUAUCUCGAUUACUUUUAGGUGGUAGUAUAAAAAAAAAUACUUUUAGAAUGUUGAGUUCUGAACUAUUAAUUUAAAACAAACAUUCAAUCAUAAGUAUGUUGAAAAUAAGAAGCUCAAAGCUGAAAAUAUUAUUAUUUAAGCUCGCUCUAUUCAUUACUUAACGAGUUCUCUGUGUCAAAUUGACAGACAUUACAGAAUUACUUCCGGCUUAAAAGCAAUUGUCGAAUGAAUAUGACUACAAACGGUGUGAACACCACUCGGUCAGUCUAAUGAAAACCAAAAAUUAUAAUCCUUUAAUCUGAUGAUAUUGCCAUUUUUAGUUCUCCAUCUUUUCCACAAAAGCUAAAUUUAUUUUUAUAUAUCAAUGUUUUUGUGUGGUAUAUUUACACAUACAAUAAGUGUCUACCAUAUAUAUAAUAGGUAUAAUAUUAUAUAUGUGAGCAUAAUUUAUGUACACCGAAUGUAUGGAGCACAAUAAUUUAUCAUUUUGUGGCACUAAAAAUAAUAACGAUAUUUCCAAGGCAUGAAUAUUCCAUUUUUCGGAAACCCCGUAAACGCCUUUUACAUUUUUUUUAUUUCUACAUAUCAACAUAUUAUGAAAUUAUAAAUAAAUAUGUACUAUGCAUGCAAAUAUUUAUGUAUAUUUAUUUCCAGUAUUUGUACCCAAAGUCUAAAACCUUGACAGUGUCAUAACCCUAAUCAUCAAAAAUUUAUUUGUGAUAAAACACAAAAACAUCGUAUGUAUAUCGAACUUUAAAUUCUUAUAUAAAUUGAGAACUGUCUUUUCAGAAUAGGAUGUUUAUGGUACAUUUUUAUUUAUAUUUGUAUGGAUAUCUUUACCCAUAACAUAAAAGAAUAUUUACAAAUUAAUUAUCUUUAGUGCGUCUUUAGCCUUUUUAAAACGCGAUCUUUACUUUUACACAUUGUUUUAUUUCUUAUAACUUAUUUACUGAGGCUCUCGGCUUAAAUUGAUUUUUUUUAUAAUGUUGCAUCUGCAGCCACACAAAAACGCCAAAUGUUAAGCUCCCAGCUUAACGUCUACGGUUAGAGCUUUUACUCAAAAUGGGGAGUGCAAUAACCAACAUACAAGAAACAGUUUGGAGAAGAAUGGCAUUGUCGGAACUUGAUAUUGGGCAAAUUGGGAUUUAAGUGAAUUUUUAUUUUAUUAUUUGUUGUGAUGAAUAAACUUUUCUUUCUUUAUUUCUUUCUUCUUUAAAAUAUUAUGUAUAUUGCAAAGAUGCAGGGGAUAUUUACAAGACUAAAGGGAUAUUUACAAUAUACUAAAAAUCUAAGUAAUUUUACAAAAAAGUACACAAAAAGUGUGGUUAUUAUUAAAGUUUCGUGUCACAAGGGGAAAUUUUGUUCUUUUAUAAUUAUGUAGCUCUAAAUGACUAAGUUCUAUUUUUGUUAAAAUGUGUAAUUAGAACAAUGACACAGUUCCUUUAUAACGUAGUCCGGUCAAUUUAGACAUUCAAAGGCCGAAAAAUAGUUUCCACAAUUUCGAGCGAAACGUUGGUCCUUUUUUCCGAAGAGCUAUUGUUUCUGAGAUAUAACGAUCAUUAUAUUAUGCAUACCACCUAAGACGUAGUGGACUAGCGCGGUUUUUUGCAGCUUGUUAAAUAUGUAUGUACCUUUCUCCAAGUUUUCUGGUACAUUUUACCGGAAUAUUAAUUAAGCUUACUUUCUGAAGCUCUAUUAUUUGUCAAUAUGAGCAACAAGUUGUCAUCUCAACCAAAUUUCCGAAGUUUGACGUUGCGCUAGGGAAACAACGUACAGAAUACUCGGGUAAGGCUCCAACAUAUUGAAACUAUCAACUGAAGACAUAUUUUGUAACUAUUGUUUAUCAUGCGAUUCUUAGUCGUUUAGUACAUCGCUCCGAUUAAUCAACAAAACACAUUGGUAAAAAAAUUUCGUCGACAAGGAAGCAUUUUGUGUUGGUGAAGUGAUAUGAAAAACAAUGUGUUACUCGGUCGUAACGUAUUGUGUUCAAAAAACGUAAAAUGUAUACUCGAAGGUGAUUUGCUCCGAAAAGAAAUUAUACGUGUGUCUAAUUCUCCUUACGCAUUCCCAAUAGUAUUAGUGGAGAAUAAAAAUAAUGAGCAUCGUCUGUGCGUGGACUAUCGACAGUGAAAUCGUGUCACAAUGAAAGAACCUUUUCCUAUGCCUAUCAUAGACGAAUUAUUCGCCGCGCUCGCAGGAAACGUUUAUUUUACUACCCUUGAUUUGAACAUUGGUUAUCACUAAAUUGAGAUUUGUGAGAGUGCGAAAAAAUAUACAGCAUUUAUAACGAACAGUGGACACUACGAAUAUAAUCGCAUGCCGUUCGGUUUGGUUAACGCGUCGACUGUUUUUCAAACCAUGAUAAAUAAACUGUGUGAAAACGUUGACGACGUAAUUAUCCCGAGUGUAACAAUCAACGACGGUAUCGAAACGCUAAAUAAGUUUUUGGACCAACUUGAAAAGAGCGGAUUAACGUUAAGACGAAAAAAAUACAAUUUUCUCUCAACUCAGAUAAGUUUCUUGGGACACAUUCUCCCAAAAGACGGCAUAAGACCGGGUAAGUCUAAAAUCAAUUCCAUUAAUUUUAUGAACAAACCUACGAACAGAACCGAAGUAAGAAGAUUCCUAGGAUUAACCGGAUUUCUCCGGAAAUUUGUUAAAAACUACGCAAUUAUUGCCCGACCAUUGACGAGGCUUACGACCAAAGCUGCUACCAGAAAUUUUGUAUGGGGUGCAGUAGAAGACAACGCAUUCGAUGAACUUGUAGAUGCACUCACAAAAGAGCCGGGGCUUGUGUUAUAUGACUUCAAAGCGUUACAUCAAGUUCAUACUGACGCGAGUAGCAUUGGUCUAGCAGCAGUAUUGCUACAAUCUGUUGACGAAGGUAAAUCCUGGAACGCAGUCAUGUACUUCAGUCGACGAUGUACCAACAUAGAAACACGUUACCACAGCUAAGAACUCGAGGUCCUUGCCGUGGUGAAAUCUUUAAAGCGAUUCCGUAUAUAUUGUAAUAUUACUCGGAAAACCGUUUAAAGUGGGGACGGACUGCGCCGCCAUUUCGAGUGUAAAAACGAAAACAGAGCUUAUACCACGUAUUUCUCGAUGGUGGAUGCAACUUAAUGAGUUUAACUUUGAAUGCGUGCAUAAACCAGGUGCGCGAAUACAGCAUGUGGAUGUCAUAAGUCGAUCCCCUGCUGAUGACAACGACAUAAAUGAACAUAAGCAAGUCAUGAAUAUCUCCGACACAAACGACGAUUGGUUACUAACAAUGCAGCUACAAGAUAAGAAUAUCUGCGAAAUUGUUAACGUCCUUAAGGCGAUACGAAAGUCAGAUCAUGUAACGCAUUGAAAAACGAAUAAUAAUAAUAUAUACGAUUUUUUGUUGUACCAAAAGUGGUGAGAUGGCGAGUGACUAAGUACUGCCACGAUGGUAUGGGUCAUUUCAGCAAAGAAAAACCUGUUAAACUAAUCUAUGAGGCAUUUUGGUUUCCGAAAGUAUGAGAAUACGUGAAAGAAUAUAUUGCAGUGUGCAUAGAAUCUUGCUACAACAAGGCAAUCGGAGGUAAACCUGAAGGUAAUCUCUACAUAGACGCAGUAGAUCCUAUUCCUUUCCGCACGUUACAUACCGACUAUUUAGGCCCAUUUGUUAGAAGUAAAACAGGAUAUACGCAUACUGUCGCAGUAAGUGACGUUUUUACGAAAUAUUUUAUUUCAAACCAGUGCGCAACACUAAAACGCAACCAGUGUUGCAAGUGUUCAACGAACUGUGUAGCUAUUUCGGUCUACCAACGAGAAUCACAAGCGAUCGAGGUACCGCGUAUACGGCUAAGCUGUUUACUGAUUUCUGCAAUACAAAUGACAUUCAGCAUAUAAAACCUGCUUUUAGAACGCCGAAGGCGAAUGGUCAAGUAAAGAGGGUUAACCAGACUAUCUUGAACUUCCUCCGAACAUCUGGUUCCAAUGCAAAAGAGUGGGACACAAAACGACGAAAUCUGCAAAGGAGCGUACUUGACACUAGUAGCAAAAGCUACCAAAGUACAUGAAACCAUCAACUUAACAGAUUUGGACUAAAAUACCAUUUUUGUGUUAAAAACCUUUUUACAAAUCCACUCAUGUAAAACAUUUGGAAAAACUUGAGCAUUCUUAGAUUUACGUCGAAAGUCUACUUUCUUGUAACCUGUACUUGUAUAUUCAUAUUGAGCAAAAGCUAUGUCAAUUGCAAAAUCACAUCAAUAUCGCAUAUUUGAACUAACAGAGACAUCCUUAGAUUUAUAUUUAUUUAAAGUCGAUUUUCUUUUAACCUUUGUAUUUACAAUAAGCAAAAACUACCACAAAUACAUGAAUCCAUUAACUUCACAGAUUUGGACUAAAACUCCAUUUUCGUGUUAAAACCUUUUUCACAAAUACAUACUAUUACAUAAGUACAUACAUACUACUAAGUUUUACGUUCAUGCAAAUUAAUUUUCUUGUAUCCUAAAUAUUCACAAUUAGUCAAUUGCAAAAUCACAUCAACUUCGCAGAUUUGGGCUAAAAUACCAUUUUCAUAUCAAUAUCGUGUUCACAAAUACAUAUAUUUAGUGCAUUUUGGAAAACUCGAACUUCCUUAGAUUUAUAUUCAGAAUCGAAUUUCUUUUAACAUGUGUAUUCACAAUAAGCAAAAGCUACCACAAAUACAUGAAACCAGAUUUGGACUAAUAUACCAUUUUCUGUGUUAAAACCUUUUUCACAAAUGCACAUGCACGUAGUGCACAUUGAAGUGGAAAUAGCCAUUGAAGUUUUUAGAUUAAUUUCAAGUGUAUUGUGUGAUAGAUAACUUUUGGAAAAAUAAGUUUCCAAGGUCGAUUUUAUGUAGUUGGUUGAAUCGACAAUAUUAGCAACAACGAAAUAGGAAGCGCCGAUAACUUUCCGAUAUCAAGUUACGAACAAAUAUGUAACAGAAGAUAAGAUUUCACAAUGGAGCAUUAGUUCGAGACUUCAUCGGUGUAUCGUGGUCACAUAUGACGACAAAUUCAAAGGGGCCGAUUUCAUUCGAUUAUUCAAUCAAGGAAGAAUUAAACCAAAACCAGAAACAAAUCAUACGAUUAUGCACGAGAAGGAAUUAUAAAUUUUAAUUGUUUUUAAAUUUAUUUUUAAAAAGUGUUUUAUACAACUUUCUUUAGAUUUUGUUCACAUUUUGUUUCAAUUCUUCAAUAAAAUUUUAAUACUACAAGUAUUAACAUUGUUAAUGAAUUUUAUUUUCUAUUGUUCGAAUUUCGACCACUGGAUUCAAUUGAUUAGUAAACUGAUAAUAGAUAGAUUAGUUAGUAUGGAAAUCUAGAAAACAGUUUUGCUGUGACGAUAAACAAUGGGAUAUACCACACUUUGAUUUUCCAUCAUUUAUAAAUGUCUAAUAUUGUCAUAAUAUCACGCGGCGGUAGCGAGGUACUGUUAGGAUGAGAUCGUUAUUCAGAAAUCUGAGCAAUCAUUUUUAAGUGGAUAGUCUUUGUUCCCCGAGUAAAUUUCAAAACAGUAACAAAAGCCUAAAUCAUCACACAUCAAGAAAAAUGUGUAGCCCCAAGUAUGUGGCUUGUCAAGCAUAUACUGUUUGAAAAAAAUUUUAUUUUUUUUGUUAAACAAAUUUGCUCGUCAAUGCAAAGUCGUUCUAUUUUUGGAACCCUAUUGAAUGUUUUGUUAAGUGCUUCAAUCAAUGGUCGUAUUUUAAACAGACGAUUAACGAUAUUUGCUGAUAAGGAUUCAUGCGAUAAUUGAGUUGUUUUAGUUGGUUGCUCGUCUUCCUGUUGCUCGAUAUUACGACAAACGAGGCGUUUCGUUAUUGUUGAUAUGCAAAAAUUGUCGAAUUUUCUCAUGACAGUUUCAUGUCAUAGCUGCCAUGAUAUGAGGGUCGUUUAAUUUCAUCAGGUGUGGUGUUAAGAGGGUUCAAAAUAUCUUGAUGUAUAGAAUACAAAUUGCUCUGUUCUACGAUAUUUGAAACAUCAUCAUCUAAUACAAAAUAUGAAAAGAAUUGAUAUGCUACGGUGGUCGCUACCUCGAAACUGAAUCCAACUUUCUUUAAAUUACAUGCUGCAGAGCUUCCAAAGUAGUUUUUUAAACUCUAUAGAAUCCUUAUCUAUCGUUGUGCGCGAGAAAAAUAUAGCAUAUUGUGGCCAUCGUGUUCUAUCUGAUCCCUAAUUAUGUUGAAUCGCCGAAAUAGUGACAUUUGUAUCAGCGAUGCUAUCGUCGUCAGAAAAACCAGUUUCCCAGUCACUAUCAAAAUCACUAACGAACUUUUCGAGAUCUUCCUGAUUAAUUAAACUAUAACUUCUCUAUGUCAUUCUAUAUUGGUAUAGACAAAUUUAUGGGUUUUUACACUUUUACUUAUCACUUUAUUAUAAUUUUCCAUAAGUAUAUAUUAUAUUAUAAUUUUGCACAAGUAACAAAAUAUAUAUAAGCACCUGAUGGUUUCUCAAGGGACCAUUUAAGUUUUAUUUCAUAAAAUUUUUAAUUCAAUUUGUAAAAUUUUUAUCAAAACUUUCAUAAAAUUAAAUUGUAAUAACUAUGAAGAUUCCAAAUUUUCAGCGCUAAUCAAUUAGUAUUACGUUCGCACUAGUCACUUUAAAGUACACAGUAUUCACCUAACGGUUGUUUGUAUCACCCAAAACUAAUCGAGUUAGAUAUAGCGUUAUAUAUAUAAAUGAUCCGGUUGACUGUUUGUCCGUCCGUCUGUGCAAGUAAAUUGUCAUAACUAAGCUCCACAAUAAGAUACAAGAUUUAGGUAUAAUGUGCAUACCCCCAAACCGCUAAAGCUAGUUUAGAAAGUUGCGUUCAAAAUGAUAUCAUAAAUUUUCAAUUGUACGUUUAGUUUUUCGAAACAAUCAUAAAAACCACCAGUGAAUCCGUUUAAUUUGACAUAACAUUUUUUACGAUAUGCUUUAUCAAAUUUAUUUGCAAAUUUUUCACUAACAAGUGACCGCGCACUACCGGUAUCAAUAAAUGCUUCAGCUUUUUCAUCACACACUGUAAUUUGUUUCACUGUAAAUUUUUCAGUUACGUCAUAGAUUUCGUUGCAAUUUGGUUGUGUUUGUACGUUUCAUUUACACUCGUUUGGCUUAUGUCCAGUUUUACCGCAUUUUUCACAUCUUACUUUACGUUGUGGCUCACUACAAUUUCUUGAUAUGUAGCCAGGCUUAUUGCAAUUGAAACGUAUAUAAUCGUUUUUAGGUUUAUUUACGUUUUUCACUUCAAUGCUUUCUAAUUUCGGCACUAAUUGUGCAGGCUUUGUUAUCGCACUUGUUUUUAAUAUAUUAUUUGCACAAUAGUUUCGUAUGGCAUUCAAAAGUUCAUUAGAGUUUGAAUACCCAUUUACCGACAACGCAUGUUUCAUAUCUGCAUCGUUCAAUCCAUUAAUUAUAUACAUAUGUAAUUAAAUAUUUAUCAUCCACCGCACUUUGCCUAACAAUUGAUAAUAUUUUAUAGUAAAACAUUUCAGGCGUUUCACUUGCUAACCGGCACAUAUUCAUGAGUGUCAUGUGAAUGGCUGCAAAAUUCACCUCAGAGGGGAAUUCAUAAAGGAAGUCGUCGACAAAUACUGACCAAUUGCUAUAAACCGUGAGCAUGGAAUCGAGCCAUAAGUUCGCAACUCCUCUCAGAUUUGCUUGUACCGCGAACAAAAGUGUUUUCUCGUCCCAAUUGUACGCUUGUUUCAGUUGAUCCACUCUUCCGACGAACUGUAUAGAUGUCAACCGUUUAUCUUUCGAGUCAAACGUUGGCAUAAUUGAAAUUAUGUCAUGCACAUUCGCGACGUUGUUAUACGGACUGCUGUUCUGUUCCCGAUGAACCGACGAGGUUGGUACGUGUUGUAACGGUUGACAUAUAUACAUUGGCAUAGUGCCACCGUUGUUGCAAAUUGUUGAAUUCAUAUUUCGUUGAUAUUCGUUGUUAGCUUCGGAGAAAUUAACUCGUCGUGUUGAAUGCUGUACUGUUUGUGCAGAACAUGAAGCUAAAUUUGUUGACAGCGGUGCUGCAUGCGCAGAACAUAAAGCUAAAUUCGUUUGUACUGCAUGUGUAGGUGCCGUAGCGUUUGAAAACGUGUCUGUAUAUGCAAAAUCAUGUACAAUUGGGCGUUGAAUAUGCGAAUAUUCAUCACUACGUGGGAAAAUAGGAGCACAGCCUAACGUUGACUGUACUUUGAUCGUAUGCAAAUAUGAUGUAGCAUUUGUUUCAAGUUCUGUGCUAACGUUAGCAGAGCUUCAGCCGUAUUUAUUUGAACACACGUCGCAUUCGUGUUGGCUGCUGCCGCCCAUUCAUAAGCGUUGUAUGAUUGACAUGCAGCCCCUAUGUCGUACAUCUCCCGUUCAUUUUCGUAUAGUCUUUCUAUCAGGACUGGUUUGGUUCCCGUUUCCGACAAACCAAGUCCUCGUAACACUUCACGCAAUUUCGUCACAGUCAUCGACCUGUAUCUCACCAUUUUUAGAUUUAACGUACGGCGCGAAGAUUAAUUCACUUCUGAAAUUGUUAAUGUACCGAAAAUACUUACGCUACUUUUGUUCUUUUUGUUUUUUAAUAAUUUUGAAAUACAAAUCUGAAUGGCGACUUGCUAAAACACUUCAUUUAUUGUAAAAAUUUCAUCUUAAAAAGCGUAUUACAAAAAAUAUAAGAAUAAACCGUCCAUCUUGUCCGAAAUACAAAAUGGAACUGCCACUAUUUAUUACAAUUAAAAAUCAUUGUCGCGUCACUCGUCAGUCUGUCAGGGUUGCCUUUGUUCGUAGUCUGAUUUUACGCUUGACACUAGUGAAUAGAAAGGUAAAAUCUGCCAUUUUGGUGUGCUUUUACAAUUGACGUAGCUUGUGCCAAUUGUGAGUAUACAGGUUCCAAGAAAAUAAACUUUGAACGUAAAUCUAAGAAUGUUCAAGUUUUCUUUCCAAUAUGCACUAAAUGUAUGUAUUUAAUGUAUGUACAAGUAUGAACACGGUAUUAACAUGAAAAUGGAAUUUUAGAUCAAAUCUGCGAUGUUGAUGUGAUUUUGCAAUUAACUUGAGUUUGUGUUAAUUGUAAAUAUACAGGUUACAAGAAAAAAUACUUUGAACGUAAAUCUUAGAAUGUUCGAGUUUUUCAAAAUGCACUACAUGCAGGCAUUUGUGAAAAACAUUUCAACACGAAAAUGGUUUUUAGUCCAAAUCUGUGAAGUUGAUGGAUGUAUUUUAAUAAUAAAUAUAUAAGUAGGUUAAGAGAUAAUCGACACUGAUUAUAAAUCUAAAAAUAUUCAAGUUUUCCCAAAUGCACUAAAUGUAUGUAUCUGUGAACACGGCAUUAACAUGAAAAUUUUGUUUUAUUCCAAAUCUGCGAUGUUGAUGCGAUUUUGCCCUAUGUAUGUACUUGUAAGAAAGGUUUUAACACGAAAACGUUAUUUCAGUCCAGAUCUGUGAAGUUGAUGAGGUUUCAUGUAUUUGUGGUAGCUUUUGCUACUAGUGAAUCAACAAGUAAUGGUUAAAAGAAAAUUGACUCUGAAAAUAAUUCUAAGAAUACUUAAGUUUUUCCAAAUGCGCUAAUUGUAUGUAUCUGCGAACAUGGUAUUAACAUGAAAAUGGAAUUUUAGUCCAAAUCUGCGAUGCUGAUGUGAUUUUGCAAUUGACAUAGCUUUAGCUCAUUGUGAUUUUAUUAGUUUCAAGAAAAUAUACUUUGUACGUUAAUAUAAGAAUGUUCAAGUUUUCCCAAAUGCUCUACUUGUAUGUAUAUGUGAAAAAAGUUUUAAAACGAAAAUGGUACUUUAGUCCUAAUCUGCGAUGUUGACGUGAUUUUGCAAUUGACGUAGCUUUUGCUCAUUGUGAAUAUACAGGAUACAAGAAAAGAGAAGUGUAUGUAUUUGUGAAAAAGGUUUUGACACGAAAAUGGUACUUAAGUCCAAAUCUGUAAAGUUAAUGGAUUCAUGUAUUUGUGGCAGCUUUUGCUAAUAAAGAAUGUUGUUGGGUCACCGAUUGAGAACCAAUGCAUUCUACGGUCAU